rnacentral:rRNA from 1 species
GUCUCAAUGAUUGGCUCAGUGAAAUUGGAAUAACUGUGCAGAUACAGUUUACCUCUAGUUAGACGAGAAGACCCUAUGCAGCUUUACUGUUUGUAGUUAUUGGAUACAAUGGAACAAGUUGUAGCGUAUAAGGUAGUUGA